GCUGGCUAGGUGCCGAGUGCAGAGUUUAGUGUCGAGUGCAGAUCCUGGUGCUGAGUGCAGAGGGGAUUCCCAACGGCGGGCUAGGUGCCGAGUGCAGAGUUUAGUGUUGAGUGCAGAGGUGGGCGUGGCAAAGCUAGAUGCCGAGUGCAGAUUCUGGUGACGUAAUUUUCAGGCGUGGAGAGGGAUGGGCGUGUCUGAGCUCGAGGCUAGGCAACUGGCCUUACAAUCACAUCUUACCUAACU